ensembl:lncRNA
GCUAAAUGGUUAAACAAGUCACAUGACCUUUUCUGCUUCUGUGGCUCUAGGGGUCAGUGGGGCCUCCAGGAUCUAAGGGUCCUCCUGGAGAGAAAGGUAGACGAGGAGCUGCUGGACCUCCAGGGGACCUAGGAAAUAAAGGUCAGCUAGGGCCAAAGGGCAAGAAUGGCUUUCCUGGGAAAAAAGGCAACACAGGCAUGGCUGGAAAAACAGGAGCUCAAGGCCCAAAAGGAAAACGAGGCCCUCCUGGGGAACCAGGAAAACCUGGACUUGGUGGCACGGAUGGUUUGCUUGGAGUUGUUGGCAAUGAAGGAUAUCCAGGUGGUCCUGGACAUAGAGGACCCCCAGGAAGACCUGGAC